rnacentral:lncRNA from 1 species
UUCUAAUUAAUUAAAAGAUGUGAACUCUCCUUCAAACAUGGCCCUCUCUAGAAAUCCCUCCCCCCUCUCUCUAAAAAUAAUGCCCCCCUCUACUAACAUUUCAUGAACGAGCUCUGGAUCUUUCGAAUCAACCCUUGAAUCUCAUUUAUCACGUGUGUGUUCAAAUCCCUAUUCUAUUUUUUUCUUUUAGGAACGAAAAAUCUGAUAUUGUUGUUGUUCAAAUCUAUAUCGAUUUUGUGGUGGAAGAAUUGAGCAACUGAUUUCUCUCAUAUAGCUUCUAGUGACCCUAAUUCUUUCUUUUUUGUUUAUACCCAUACUAGUUUAUAUAUAAAUUUAUGUGUGGAAAUUUUUAUAAGGGUUCUUUAAGGCAAAAUUGUCAACAUGCAGUCUUUUCUUUUUGUUUAUACCCAUACUAGUUUAUAUAUAAAUUUAUGUUUGGAUUUUUUAUAAGGGUUCUUUAAGGCAAAAUUGUCAACAUGCAGUUAGAAAUUUUUGUUAUUUCAGUAAUCUUACAUUUGUAUUCUUAGAUUUCAUAUCGAUUUUCUCUGAACCAUUUGAUAAUCUACAUUAGCUUUACUGAAUUUUUGUUGAUUCAAGCCUUAUUCUUAGCACACUCUUCUUCUCGAACCUUAUUCUUAGCAUACAGAAAAAAACAGUCGCACAGGAAGAAUGAUUUUAGGCGUAUUUGGUGUUGUUGUUGCUGAUUUUCACUCUUAAUAGAACUCGACUAUCUUAGUUUGGGUAAGUUAAAAGCUUCUUGUUUAAAGACCUAUUGUAUGUUGGUAUUCCAUACUCGUAAGGGCUGUUUUAAUCACUGCCAUAAUUUUCCUUUUGCAGUUGUAUCCAAUGUGUUUCUACUGUGGUGUAUUCAUUUUUGUUAUGUAGAUUUCUGAAAUUCAUAGUGACCUCGGAUUUGUAUGAGAAUAAAGACCAUUUACAAACAGAUAGAGUUAAAUUAUUUGAUAUUCUUUGCUUUUUACUGUCAUUAAUUAUCAAUUAAGGUUAAUCACCAGAUGUUAAAUCUGUUUAUCAAUAAGGUGUUUGUAGAUGUCGCAAUAUUAAUUAUUUGGGUACUCAUCCAUUGUUUUGUCGCUUGGUGAUGCCACUGUUUUGACCCAACUGUUGGUAAUUGUAUGCCCUUCGCAGUCCUUAGCUAAACUGUGUUUGUUAUUCCUAUCUUUGUAAAUUCUGAUCAUACUAAUGAUAGCUUUUAUAUGCCAGAAUCUUGUUGAUGAAGUCAAAGGAUCGAGAAUGAUCCGUUACGUUGACGGUGACCCAAAGAAUCAUAUAUUCUACAACUGUUAUUAGCAGAGACAUGGUAGGAAUAAGAUAAUUACUACGUAUUAUAAUCUGGGACAUCAAAUAUUCUUGGAGCUGAGUCAUGUUUUUUGGUGUCUCCAGAGAGGAAUAUGAGAGAAUGUUGAGUGAAUUUAUAGAAAUGCAUAUAAUAUGAGGAUAUGUGUCAUCUCAUGUUACAGAACAUAUUCUAUUGUUGCUCAAUUAUUGGCUUCAUAUCAGAAUCACAAAGAAAUGCUCGUCAUAAGAUGCUAAAAAUGAGUUUGACUUUCAUCAGAUACAAGUACAGGUACAUAUGUUGACUAUUUCAUGGAAAAAUAAUACAAAAAGAAAUGAUCACCCCCUGUAUCCACUAAGUCCAAAACUUCAGAUCAUUUCACUGAUUUUUGCCAGGGUAAAUGACCAGUGUUUGGGUCUGUGAACAUCUCUGCUACUCGAUCUCUUAGGCCAGUGUCAUUAACUUCUCUUAUUUUGCUAAGAUUUAGUUGCUUCUGAAGCCAAGUGCAGAAGUAUACAAGAGGAUCCAUCUAAAAGUGGACAAGAGGAUGCAUGAACUUUUCUAGUUUGAUGACCAGAAUGCUACAACAGGUACUUGCUCCGCUACUUGUUAACAAUUUUUCUUCCUUCUCGGCAUCUCUUCUUCCUUCAUUCGGGUACAAUUCUUUUGUCAGCUUACUAUCUUUUUCUUCAAAUAAGCGGCGAAGGCACUGUACAUAUCAUGAAAUCAUACAAUGCACCAUAUUAAAUAAUUGUCAAUUUAUCUAUUGCCUGAAUGAUUAUCUUUUUAUGUGCAAAAAUACUCACACCUGAAUAAACCGAGACCAAAAAGGGAUAAUUGCGACGACUAUGUAUAAAAUUUGGUAAACACUGCUAUCUUGAUAUUUAUUUGAUCUUGUUCUGAACUUGGCCCACACAUAGGAAAUAUUGUGCAAGAUAGGUACAUUUUAGCCUUAUCCCUGUAGAAAAACUGCUUGAAUAGAUUUUGCAAUUAAUCUUCUUCUCGUAAGUAGUAACAGAUCUAUUGACCCAAAAGAAAAGUAAAAAUAUAUCAUGAUUUUGAAAUUGCUUGUUACCUCUGCUUUUUGAUAGUUGAAAGGAUGGGCAGGAAGUCAGAUUGUCUAAAUUAAUGUAUGGCUCAUCCAACAGCAAAUUAUUGGAAUAUAUUGUGUGUUUGUGCGCAACUCGCUCAUGUUUCAGUUGCCCCGAUCUCUAUAUUUGUAGUGGUAGCAGUUUUUAAUUUACUCGCUAAUAUUGACAACAAAACUAAGAAAGAUCCACUCAUUUUAGUUCUUAUAUGCAUUGUGGCUUGCGAGGCUGUUUUUGCGAGCUAUGUGGAUCGUACCGUUCAUUUCAUGGAACUUCCUGGUGAAAUACGUAACAGGCAAGUUCUUUACUUAUGAUAUUGUCAAAAGUUUCAAGGAAAGGAAGUCUUUAAAUUAAGCUUUUAGAUGAUCUAGAACCACAUUAUUCUACAUGGCACUAAAGAAGAUAUUAGAAGAAAAAAAUAAACACUUCCAUGCGCUUGUGCUUAGUGAGAAAUCCGGCCACCAUCAAAGGGGCCUACAGUUUAGGAAGAGACGUUUGUGGCUUCACAACAUGUGCAAAGUGAAGCAUUUUUCCAACCAGUUGAACAAAUUGUUGUGAAGUCUGGGAGGAAAAUAAAAGAGAGGCACCUUUCAGUCGAGGAAAAUGUUUCAUUGUCUUCAUUGGUUAUAGCUGUCACAACUUUCAUCGUCUGUGAAGACGCUUUUAAGCUUGCACCAUAUUAGACUUGCUAUCUUUUUAUGUAUUUUUUCAUUUGCAAGUACUUGCAGAAAAGGAAAUAUCUGUUAAUUUGCAAAUGAUGUUUGAGUAACCAAAUUCUCUUUUUUCAGUGAACUGUAAUCUGUCAAAUUCUUACACAUGUUGCAGUUGAACAAUCUGGAGCUUGAUGUCAAUCUUGCUAAAAGAGGAAACCUUCCAUGUGCUGAGAAUUUGGUAAGUGGAUAUAUUAUUCUCGAUAUAUCAUUGUUCGGAAAUGGUUUUGCGAUGGGAGGGCAUUCUGCUCUUUUCUUUAGGUGUACGGGAUCUCUUGCCUGUGGAACUCUCUAACACUGUUAACCUUGUUCUGUAUGUCGCUGUCUUUUUUAUUUUUAAUUCCAGAUGCUUAUGUCUGUGAUGAUCCAGCUGAUGAGAUUUCAUUUCCUCAAGGGAUGGGUACUCAAAUUUGCAUCUAUUAAUAGCCACAUAAAGUUCUCUUCUUUUGGUGUUCUUGCUACCUUCUCUGCUUUCGUUUUCUUUUGUUUAUCACGCUAGCUUUAUUUUGUCUGUUGGACGGAUGUAAUAUAUAUAAGGAACAUAAUGAGAUUCGUUAUAUCCAAAAAUAUGUAUAGACGAAUAAAGUACAAGCUACCUUUCUGGAAAAAGCAUGUUUUUUUGGAAAAUAUUUUGCAAUAUUUUUCAAAGAACAAAUGCCAGCAUAUAAGGAACUAGAGGAAAGAUUUCUCAUUUGUUAUUCUUUAGGUAUGUAUUGUUCCUCCUUCCACUUAUCAGCUGUAAGCAUUGCAUUUGCGUGAUCCACUUUUUGCAGCCAAGUCUGAUGAAUAAUAUAGGGAUUUAAUAGCUUUCAUGGUUAUAACUACCAUAAGUUUAACCUGUUAAAUUUCUUAUAUUGUAGUUUCACCUAUGGAGAAACCGAGAAAUCCCCUCAAGGGAGUUACCGAUGAUUUUAAAGGAAGGAUAACAUGCUACAAACGCGAUUGGCUCGACUCAUGUGGUACAGGCGUCAGGUAUUUACAAUAUUUCCGUCUUAUAUGUUUGAGCUGAACCUAUGGA